rnacentral:rRNA from 1 species
GGACCCGCACAAGCGGUGGAGUAUGUGGUUUAAUUCGAUGCAACACGAAGAACCUUACCAGGGUUUGAAAUCAUUUCAAAACUCCUUGAAAGAGGAGCCUCCUUCGGGAUGAAAUGACAGGUGGUGCAUGGCUGUCGUCAGCUCGUGUUGUGAAAUGUCGAGUUAAGUCUCGUAACGAGCGCAACCCAUGUCUCUUGUUGCUCACUGAGUGCUUAAGAGAGACUGCCGACCAACAUCGGAGGAAGGUGUGGAUGAUGUCAAGUCAGCAUGCCCCUUACAUCCUGGGCUACACACGUACUACAAUGGUAAGGACAAUGAGCUGCGAUCCUGCGAAGGCUAGCCAAUCUCAAAAACCGUGGCUCAGUUCAGAUCGUAGGCUGCAACUCGCCUACGUG